rnacentral:rRNA from 1 species
CACGUAGGCACCAAGCGUUGUCCGGAUUUAUUGGGCGUAAAGAGCUCGUAGGCGGUUCGGUAAGUCGGGUGUGAAAACUCUGGGCUCAACCCAGAGCCGCCACCCGAUACUGCUGUGACUUGAGUUCGGGAGAGGUGAGUGGAACUGCGAGUGUAGAGGUGAAAUUCGUAGAUAUUCGCAAGAACACCAGUGGCGAAGGCGGCUCACUGGCCCGAUACUGACGCUGAGGCACGAAAGCGUGGGGAGCAAACAGG